rnacentral:rRNA from 1 species
UCCAGACUCCUACGGGAGGCAGCAGUGGGGGAUAUUGCACAAUGGGGGAAACCCUGAUGCAGCGACGCCGCGUGAGUGAAGAAGUAAUUCGUUACGUAAAGCUCUAUCAGCAGGGAAGAAAAUGACGGUACCUGACUAAGAAGCCCCGGCUAACUACGUGCCAGCAGCCGCGGUAAUACGUAGGGGGCAAGCGUUAUCCGGAAUUACUGGGUGUAAAGGGAGCGCAGACGGCAGUGCAAGUCUGGAGUGAAAGCCCGGGGCCCAACCCCGGGACUGCUCUGGAAACUGCGGCGCUGGAGUACGGGAGGGGCAGGCGGAAUUCCUGGUGUAGCGGUGAAAUGCGUAGAUAUCAGGAGGAACACCGGUGGCGAAGGCGGCCUGCUGGACUGCAACUGACGUUGAGGCCCGAAAGCGUGGGGAGCAAACAGGAUUAGAACCCUUGUAAUU